AGAGUUUGAUCCUGGCUCAGAAUGAACGUUGGCGGCGUGGAUUAGGCAUGCAAGUCGAACGAGUCUCUGGGGGGUAACUCCUAGAGGAAAGUGGCGAAAGGGGCAGUAAUGUAUGGGUAACCUACCUUGAGGUCCGGGAUAGCCAUUCUAACGGAUGGGUAAUACUGGACGGCCUGAGUUGUCGGCAUCGAUAAUUUAGUAAAGGUUACGCCUCGAGAGGGGCCCAUAUGAUAUUAGCUAGUUGGUGAGGUAAUGGCUCACCAAGGCAAAGAUGUCUAGCGGGUGUGAGAGCACGACCCGCGUCAUUGGCACUGAGACACUGGCCAAACUCCUACGGGAGGCUGCAGUCGAGGAUCUUCGGCAAUGGACGAAAGUCUGACCGAGCAACGCCGCGUGUGCGAUGAAGGCCUUCGGGUUGUAAAGCACUGUCGAGGGGAAACAAGCCGUAAGGUUGAGUGACCCCUGGAGGAAGCACGGGCUAAGUUCGUGCCAGCAGCCGCGGUAAGACGAACCGUGCAAACGUUAUUCGGAAUCACUGGGCUUAAAGGGCGCGUAGGCGGGUGAUCAAGUCAAUGGUGAAAUCCUCCAGCUUAACUGGAGAAGUGCCUUUGAUACUGAUUGUCUAGAGGGAGGUAGGGGCAUGUGGAACUUCAGGUGGAGCGGUGAAAUGCGUAGAUAUCUGAAGGAACGCCAGUGGCGAAAGCGAUGUGCUGGACCUCUUCUGACGCUGAGGCGCGAAAGCUAGGGGAUCAAACGGGAUUAGAUACCCCGGUAGUCCUAGCCCUAAACUAUGGGUACUAGAUUGUGGACUUUCAUGGGUUCACAGUCGAAGCAAAAGUGUUAAGUACCCCGCCUGGGGAGUAUGGUCGCAAGGCUGAAACUCAAAGGAAUUGACGGGGGCUCACACAAGCGGUGGAGCAUGUGGC
rnacentral:rRNA from 1 species